rnacentral:rRNA from 1 species
CAGUAGCCGCGGUAAUACGUAGGGUGCGAGCGUUAAUCGGAAUUACUGGGCGUAAAGCGUGCGCAGGCGGUUGUGUAAGACAGGUGUGAAAUCCCCGGGCUUAACCUGGGAACUGCGCUUGUGACUGCACAGCUAGAGUAUGGCAGAGGGGGGUGGAAUUCCACGUGUAGCAGUGAAAUGCGUAGAGAUGUGGAGGAACACCGAUGGCGAAGGCAGCCCCCUGGGCCAAUACUGACGCUCAUGCACGAAAGCGUGGGGAGCAAACAGGAUUAGAUACCCCUGUAGUCCCUGUCUCUUAUAU